rnacentral:lncRNA from 1 species
UGGCUGGAUUCCUAUCCAGACACAAAUAACUUCUGGGAAUUUAGAGAAAGGAAAAUGAUUUGAAAGGGCUAGUUUUAAGUAAAAUACUGGUAGGGUGGGGGUGUGAAGAGAUGCUGCUGGAAAGUUUAAAUAAUGUCUCAUACAAAUCAAUUUAAUUCAUAUCGAUUUAUUUCAGUUCCUUCUAAGUAUCAAAGUCUAAUAACUCAGAUGUGAAAAAAAAAAAAACCUCUUCCAUCAAGGAACCCAUAGUUUAAUGAGAAACAGGUAACAUAUUUAGUAAGACAUUGUAGCAUUUGGUCUAGAUACACAGACUCAGACCCUAAACUACCUGAUUUAGAAUCCUCGCAUCACUAUUUACUAGUUGCGUGACACUUGACAAACUACUUUACAUCACUAUGAGUAUUUGUUAAGGUAAUGCUGGAUAUCAUGAAAGACAAACUCUCAGUGCCUGGACAUAACAAAUUUAUCCUUUUGCUCUUGUAAAAUCCAAAUGUUGGUUGGGUGGGGUGAGGUGUGGAAGCUCUGCUCUAUGCCUUCAUUCAGGUGCCCAGGAUGAAUGAUGACUGCUUAAGACACUAAUAUCCAGCUAGUAGAUGGGUAAGAGAGAUGGUGGAGGAUCACAUCAGAGGUUUGCAUAGGUCAGACCUGGGAGCAGAGAACAUCUUACAUUCUGUUGGCAAAAUUAUAAAAAGACAGGAAAAGGAACCUAAGUGUGUGCCUAGGUUGAAAGGGAAAUAGGUUCAGUAAAGAACUAGCCAGUCUCUGCUAUAUUGUAUUUCAGUUUUCAUAUGUUUAAACUGUGGAUACUAAUAAUAGUAUCCAUCACAGAGAGUUCACAAAGAGCUCAGUGAAAUAAUGCAUGUAAAGCACUUAGCCCAGUGUCUGAAUUAAGCUAAGUGCUGAUAAUUAUUAGCUACUUUUACUGUAAGUGUUAUGACAAAAGUAAAUAGUAGAUUCUAUAAGAACACGAAGGAAGGUAUAAUCAGUUGCAACUAGAAUAUCAGGUAAGGCUAAACAGAAGUUGAUAGGGCUAGGACUGUUAGUUGUGUUGCUUCCUUAAAUCACUGGCUAGAAUAUGCAAAACUUCAUGCUGCAAUUAUGUAUUUUCAGAGUCAGCUGCAACCCACCAGCUACCUAUUUGCCCUUAGGACUUUAUCUUGCAUUUUGGUUCCUUUUCACCCUCUGACAAGGGGAAAAAUUGCUAAAACUGAGAAGAUUUUUCAAAUAGGAAACAAAUUUUACUCAUUGUCGGCCAUCUCUUUAGGGAUAUGUUGAAUUUGCUUUUGUUGAGAUCCAACCUAUAAUAUUUGUGUAGUGGGUACUAUAUUUUUAAACCAUAUUCUCCAGUAUGCAAAACUUGUAAUGUUCUUUAUUUUACUAUAGUUCAACUUAAUCCCCAUUUAAAAGCCACAUUUUGUCUUUUGGCAGAAAAUGCAAUUUUAGUCAUUUCACGUAAAUUCAGUCAUUUCAAAUUUAAAUUCAAUCUUUUUUGGAUUCCCUUCUCUCUCUUUGUUCUCCAGGUGAUACCUAAAUUUUGAGGGUGCCUUCAGAACAUUUUAACCCUUGUGGUUACCAAGUGUCCACAUGUGGCAUGUGCAUGAUCCUGCCUGGUUCUUAUGUUUUACAUUCCCCCACACUGGCAUCUGCUGGACCAGAGGGGCCAUAUACCCCUAUCUACCCAAGACAAUCCCAGCUACACCUAUAGUCAUGGCAUGUUUUCACAAUUAUUGUCUCUUUUCACUCUUGAAAUUGCCUUAAUUUGGAAAAUAACUAAUACAGUCAAGUUAGUUGAGGUUCUGCAUUGCCAAGUGGCCACUUUCCAUUCCAAAUCUAUUUGCCUGGGCCUUCAUAUCCCUUGAAGCACAUCUGCCAUCCCAGUUGCCCACUUCUUAGGGAAAUGGGAAGAUUUGGCUGAUUCUCCACUCAAUUUCACUCCAAUCCAUAUCCAGGACCUGGGCUCUCUCAACUCUGAAACCUCCAUGCCGUCAUCUCUUCUUCUGUAAGUCACUUAAUUUUUGUCAAGCUUCUGCUUCUUGGUGUUACAGUUUAAAGUAACUCAAAGUUGUAUCCUGAUUCCCAACCCUUUAUAGCAUAUGGGAGCAAAAAUGAGACAUAUCUCUGAGUGUGGCCCUCUAUUCAGUAAUAUUAUUUGCAUUUAUUUCUUACUUCAUCUCUAAACCUUUUCUCACUUCACCUGGCCCAAAAGAGAAGUGGGAACUGUCUUUAUAGAAAGUCUUUUUUUUUUUUUAAUUGAAGUAUAGUUGAUUUGCAAUUUUGUGUUAGUUUCUGCUGUACAGCAAAGUGAUUCAUAUAUUUUUUUCUUUUUCAUAUUAUUAUGGUUUAUUACAGAAUAUUGAAUAUGGUCCCCUGUGCUAUACAAUAGGACUUUGUUACCUUGUUGUUUUAUCUAUUCAGUAUAUAAUAGUUUGCAUCUGCUAUUCCCAAACUCCAAAUCCAACUCUCCACCUUCCCCACCCUUGGCAACCACAAAUCUGUCCUCUGAGAGUCUGUUUCUCUUUCAUAAAUAAGUUAAUUUGUGUCAUAUUUUAUUUUUUUAGGGCUGCACCCAUGGCAUAUGGAAGUUCCCGGGCUAGAGGUCAAAUCAGAGCUGCAGCUGCCAGCCUAUGCCAUAGCCAGAGCCACGCCAGAUCCGAGCCGCAUCUGCAACCUACACCAUAGCUCAUGGUAAUGCUGGAUCCUUAACCCAAUGAGCAGGCCAGUGAUUGAAUCUGCAUCCUCAUGGAUACUAGUAGGGUUCUUAGCUUGCUGAGUCACAAUGGAAACUCUAUUUUGUGUCAUACUUUAGGUUCUACAUAUAAAUAACAACAUAUGGGAUUUGUCUUUCUUUCUGUCUUACCUCACUUGGUAUUAUAAUCUCUAGGUCCAUGCAUGUAUAGUAAAUGGCUAUUUCAUUCUUUUUUAUAGCUGAGUACUAUCCCAUUGUACAUGUAUAUACGUAUGUGUAUAUAUAUACACACACAUCAGGCAUUAUUGAUUUCAUGUCUUAUUUAUCCAUUCAUCUGUUGAUGGACAUUUAGGUUGUUUCUAUGUCUUGGCUGUUGUAAAUAGUGCUGCUGUGACUACAGGGGUGCAUGUAUCUUUUUUAAAAAAUUUUUAUUAUAUCUUAUUUACAAUGUUCUGUCAAUUUCUUCUGUACAGCAAAAUGACUCAGUUAUACAUUUAUAUACAUUCUUUUUUUUUGCAUUAUCCUCCAUUGUGUUCCAUUACAAGUGAUUAGAUAUAGUUCCCUGUGCAUGUAACUUUUUGAACUAAAGUUUUGUCCAGAUAUAUUCCCAGGACUGGGUUUGCUGAAUCAUAUGGUAAUUCUACUUUCAGUUUUUUGAGGAACCUCCAUACUAAUUCUCCUUAGCAGCUGCACCAAUUUACACUCCCACCCACGGUAUAGGAGGAUUCCCUUUUCUCCACACCCUCUCCAGCAUUUCCUAUUUGUAGACUUCUUAGUGAUGGCCAUUCUGACCUCUGUGAAAUGAUACUCAUUGUAGUUUUUAUUUGCACUUCUCUAAUAAGUAGCAAUGUUAAGUAUCUUUUCAUGUGCCUGUUGGCCAUAUGUCUUCUUUGGAGAAAUGUCUACUUGGUCUUCUGUCCAUUUGUUCAUUUGUUGUUACUGAGUUGUAUGAGCUGUUUGUAUGUUUUGGAACUUAAGUCUCUGUUGGUAGCAUCAUUUGUGAAUAUUUUCUCUCAUUCCAUAGGUUAUCUUUUCAUUUUAUUUAUGGUUUCCUUUGCAGUGCCAAAGCUUAUAAGUUUGAUUAGGUCCCAUUUGUUUAUUUUUGCUUUUAUUCCUAUUGCCUUGGUAGAAUGACCUAAGAAAUCAUUGGUACAGGGAGUUCCCAUCAUGGUGCAGUGGAAAUGAAUUUGACUAGGAACCAUGAGAUUGUGGGUUCAAUCCCUGGUCUUGCUCAUUGGGGUUAAGGAUCUGGUGUUGCUGUGAGCUGUGGUGAAGGUCGCAGAUACAGCUCAGAUCCUGCAUUGCUGUGACUGUGGCAUGGGCUGGCAGCUGUAGCUCCGAUUAGAUCCCUAGUCUGGAAACCUCCAUAUGCCACAAGUGUGGCCCUAAAAAG